UAAAGCAGUCUUUUCUUUGCAGCAAUACGUUAAGGCGGCGGGAUUCAAUAUUUGUUGACAUUUCAUCAUUUAUGUCACAAAGCUCGCUUGCAAGUAUUAGCCUUUGGAAGUUAUAUUCUUCACAAGUAAAUAUAAUAUGUUCUGGUGUUCCUGGAAACUUUCGACAAGCAGUGCAUGUCGCAUCUUCAAUUAUGUUGAAUCUACUCAAAUGAGCGGGUGCGGUGUUAUGCCCAAACCUGAGUCUGUUCAGUGUUGUAAUGAAGUCUCUACUCGCAAUCUUUAGCUGAUAAUACCAGGGUUUUCUAGGAGUAUUUGGGAAAGUUCUGGAUAUUGAUGGCAAAGAAGAUCCUCACCGGUUAUCUCAGGAGCACUAGAUUGAACAGGAUCGGAGACAAGUGAAACAAAGCUGUCUGCACAACUUCGCCCUCGUCUGAAGCCAUAUUGAACAUUUGGCAGUAUGCCAUUGUGUUCAACAAACCAGUCAAGCCGAGUUUUUAUCAUGUUCUCAAAUAUUUUACCUAGACAAGAAGAUAAUGAAAUAGGUCGAUAGGAAUUAGCAUUAUCAGGAGGCUUAUCUGUCUUUAAAAUAGGUAUUACAUUGAGUUUUCCAAGACUCAGGAAUAAUCUGUUCAAUCCAUAAGUUAUUAAGAAUGUCUAAGAAAAGCUUUUGGACUGACUGAUGAAGUUUUUUAAUUAAAAUAUAAGGAAAACCAUCUAAUCCAGGAGUUGUAUCUUUACGUGAAUUUAAAGAUGCAGAAAAUUCCUGAAAUGAAAACUUUUCUAAGAGAAAUUUCGUAUUUUCAUUAUCGUUAUGAAUAUUGAAAUAUUUUUCUAAGUUAGAGACCUCUAAGCCCUUAUCUGACAAUUUAUCUAAAAGGAAUUAAUGAAUGUAUCAGAAUAUGACUUAUUAUUAAUCUUUCUACUGUGUUUAAACAUUUUAAUUUGAUUCCAAAUUUUGCUAAUGGGAGUUGUCCUAUUGAAACUAUUACAUAAAUUAUUCCAUCCAUUUUUCCUUUCCUCAGCAAUUGUCUUUUUCUUUACUGCAUCUAACCUCUUGUAAUUAAUGAAAUUUUCAAUAGCAGGAUUCUUCCUAUAAUAUUUUAGUGCCUCAUAGGAAUUAAUAACACUUUGUUUACACUUAUCAUUCCACCAUGGUACAGGAAGUUUACUUUUAUAAUUAGAUGUUCGAACAAACUUAGGAAUGCAUGUAUCUUUUAACAAGUUAAGUUUAUCACAGAAAAGAUUAUAUACUUGUAAAGGGUCUUUAUCAACCAUAUUUACAUUACUAAAAAGUCUUUGAAAGCUCACAAUACUGCUUCCAAUCUGUCUUAUUAUAUAGAUAUUUUUCUGUGGGAGGAUUUACUUUGUAUUUAUCUACACUCAGUAAUAUAGAAGUAAUUGUUGGAAAAUGGUAACUACCCAUAUUAUUAUCAUAAACCGACCAUUCACAAAGUGGAGCAAUACAAGGACUGACAAAAGUAACAUCUAUAGCAGAUGGAUUACGAUUUGGAUAUUGAAUAGUUGUAUAAUUACCAUCAUUAAGUAUACAUAAAUUAGAGUCAUCAAUAAUGUCAUAAAGUUGCUGUCCACGACCUUUUGUAGAUACACAGCCAAAGGCAAUAUGAUGUGCAUUAAAAUCACCACUAAUAAAACAGGAGAAGGUAAUGAAU